rnacentral:rRNA from 1 species
AGCGAACGCUGGCGGCAGGCUUAACACAUGCAAGUCGAACGGGCACCUUCGGGUGUCAGUGGCAGACGGGUGAGUAACACGUGGGAACGUACCCUUUGGUUCGGAACAACUCUGGGAAACGUGGAGCUAAUACCGGAUACGCCCUUAUGGGGAAAGGUUUACUGCCGAAGGAUCGGCCCGCGUCUGAUUAGCUAGUUGGUGGGUAACGGCCGUACCAAGGCGACGAUCAGUAGCUGGUCUGAGAGGAUGAUCAGCCACACUGGGACUGAGACACGGCCCAGACUCCUACGGGAGGCAGCAGUGGGGAAUAUUGGACAAUGGGCGCAAGCCUGAUGCAGCAACGCCGCGUGCGGGAUGAC